rnacentral:lncRNA from 1 species
GCCUUUCUGACCCUGGACCUGCCCUGGGCCCUUCCUAAGCCUAGAGAUGGUCUAAACCUUCAUGGAACUGCUGGUCCCAGUGCCAGCCAGAGUCCCAAGUGAGGCUGAGGUGGCUCAAAGUGGUGCACGGGAGAUGUCUGAUAUCAACCCUCUCCUGGAGGUAGAUGAUGUCUCCAGCCUGGUGACUCCCUGGCCACCAGCCACCACCAUCCCCCAUGUCCCCAAGGCUGAAAGUGCAAGCUUGCCCUGGCCCUGGCACAGAAAGUGCACGAUCUGGUCAUGUCAUGCAGGUGACCUCAUGCGGGCAUGGUGGCACUUGUGGGGCAGUCCUGUAACCUGCAGUGUGGUGGGUGGGAUGGAUGUGUGUGACACAGGCAGGAACUACCCCUCAUGGCAGUUGAGGGCCCACGUGUGUAUUGGGUGGGGCUGAUGGGAGUGAGAGGUGAGUGGCUGGGCACAGGCAGGUGAGUGAGUGACAGCUACACAAACCCCACCACUGAGCAUGUCCCUCCCAGGACAAAGCAGGUCAGAGCCACAGGCCCAGCCCUGGGAGGCCCAGAGGGGCCUCAGGUCCUCAGGGACCUGGCCCUCUUGGCCCUCAGAGGACCCCACUCCCUCUAGAAAGCCCCCCAGCUGGCUCCACCUGUAGCUGUGCAAGUGGGAAGGGGACACAGUGCUCUGGGGUCCAGAGAAGGAAGGAAGAUGGAGGGAGGGCGGCCCUCUGCUCCCAGGUCCUCUGUUCCCUGACCCUGAUGCUCAGCCCCCUGCGGCCCUCCUGGAGCCCACACCUUUCAGCUGCAGUCUCCCAGCCUCUCUCCCCAGGACGAAGCCCACUCAGCCAGUGCUUUUCCACUGUAGCUGGCUUUUCCCCUUGGGGAGGGUCCCCAGAUUGUACAAAGUGCAGAGGGGUCCCCUGUCCCUGUCCCACAGGGUCCCCACACCAGGCUUUCUCAAUGUCUCCCUGUCUCUCUCAGACAAGGAGGGCAGAGGCAGCCACAAGGCCGGUCCCAGCCACAAUCACACCCGCAUAUUCAGAUAAUCACAGACGCUUGUCCCACACAGUCACACACCCCAACCUCAGGUACCAAACACCCCACACACUCCCGACAGCGCAUUCUACUCACACACACACAAUCCCAUUCUCACACAUGUGCACCCAAGCCUCUCGCCCCACAUACAAUGUGACAGGCCACUGGGCCA